CAUAUAAAUCCUCACUUUUCAUUUGUACUUUGCCGAUGCAGGUUUGGCUGGACUGGUGCAUCUAGAUCUCUUUGGGGCUAGAAUUUCAGACGGUGGAACAAAUUAUUUACGAUGCUUCAAGAACCUCCAAUCGUUUGAAAUAUGCGGAGGGGGUUUAACUGAUUCUGGUGUUAAAAAUAUCAAAGAUCUCCGCUCCUUAACGCUACUGAACCUUUCACAAAACGGCAACCUGACAAACAAAUCCUUGGAGUUGAUUUCAGAAUUGACUGCAUUGGUGUCGUUAAAUGUUUCGAACUCCAACAUAACUAAUGACGGUUUGCCUUAUUUAAAGCCUCUGAAGAAUUUACGAUCACUAUCUUUGGAGUCGUGCCAGGUAACAGCCGCUGAAAUCAAGAAGCUUCAGUCAACUGCCCUCCCCAGCCUCGUCACCUUUCGACCGGAAUAAAA